rnacentral:ncRNA from 3 species
GUCACAACGGCUUCCUGACGUGGCAGAUUGAAUUAUUGGAGCA